rnacentral:rRNA from 1 species
GAUGAACGCUGGCGGCGUGCUUAACACAUGCAAGUCGAACGAUGAAGCCCAGCUUGCUGGGUGGAUUAGUGGCGAACGGGUGAGUAACACGUGAGUAACCUGCCCUUAACUCUGGGAUAAGCCUGGGAAACUGGGUCUAAUACCGGAUAGGAGCGUCCACCGCAUGGUGGGUGUUGGAAAGAUUUAUCGGUUUUGGAUGGACUCGCGGCCUAUCAGCUUGUUGGUGAGGUAAUGGCUCACCAAGGCGACGACGGGUAGCCGGCCUGAGAGGGUGACCGGCCACACUGGGACUGAGACACGGCCCAGACUCCUACGGGAGGCAGCAGUGGGGAAUAUUGCACAAUGGGCGCAAGCCUGAUGCAGCGACGCCGCGUGAGGGAUGACGGCCUUCGGGUUGUAAACCUCUUUCAGUAGGGAAGAAGCGAAAGUGACGGUACCUGCAGAAGAAGCACCGGCUAACUACGUGCCAGCAGCCGCGGUAAUACGUAGGGUGCGAGCGUUAUCCGGAAUUAUUGGGCGUAAAGAGCUCGUAGCGGUUUGUCGCGUCUGUCGUGAAAGUCCGGGGCUUAACCCCGGAUCUGCGGUGGGUACGGGCAGACUAGAGUGCAGUAGGGGAGACUGGAAUUCCUGGUGUAGCGGUGGAAUGCGCAGAUAUCAGGAGGAACACCGAUGGCGAAGGCAGGUCUCUGGGCUGUAACUGACGCUGAGGAGCGAAAGCAUGGGGAGCGAACAGGAUUAGAUACCCUGGUAGUCCAUGCCGUAAACGUUGGGCACUAGGUGUGGGGACCAUUCCACGGUUUCCGCGCCGCAGCUAACGCAUUAAGUGCCCCGCCUGGGGAGUACGGCCGCAAGGCUAAAACUCAAAGGAAUUGACGGGGGCCCGCACAAGCGGCGGAGCAUGCGGAUUAAUUCGAUGCAACGCGAAGAACCUUACCAAGGCUUGACAUGUUCUCGAUCGCCGUAGAGAUACGGUUUCCCCUUUGGGGCGGGUUCACAGGUGGUGCAUGGUUGUCGUCAGCUCGUGUCGUGAGAUGUUGGGUUAAGUCCCGCAACGAGCGCAACCCUCGUUCCAUGUUGCCAGCACGUAAUGGUGGGGACUCAUGGGAGACUGCCGGGGUCAACUCGGAGGAAGGUGAGGACGACGUCAAAUCAUCAUGCCCCUUAUGUCUUGGGCUUCACGCAUGCUACAAUGGCCGGUACAAUGGGUUGCGAUACUGUGAGGUGGAGCUAAUCCCAAAAAGCCGGUCUCAGUUCGGAUUGGGGUCUGCAACUCGACCCCAUGAAGUCGGAGUCGCUAGUAAUCGCAGAUCAGCAAUGCUGCGGUGAAUACGUUCCCGGGCCU